GUUCGGGGUCCCUUAUAUCGACCCGAGCGAUCCAGUAUCCUU
rnacentral:sRNA from 1 species